AUACUUACUUGGCAGGGGAGAUACCAUGAUCACGAAGGUGGUUUUCCUAGGGCGAGGCUUAUCCAUUGCACUCCGGAUGUGCUGACCCCUGCGAUCCCUCCCCAUAUUUAUAUUCAUGACUUUUCUGACAAC
ensembl:snRNA U1 U1 spliceosomal RNA